GUCGAGCGAAUGGAUUGAGAGCUUGCUCUCAAGAAGUUAGCGGCGGACGGGUGAGUAACACGUGGGUAACCUGCCCAUAAGACUGGGAUAACUCCGGGAAACCGGGGCUAAUACCGGAUAACAUUUUGAACUGCAUGGUUCGAAAUUGAAAGGCGGCUUCGGCUGUCACUUAUGGAUGGACCCGCGUCGCAUUAGCUAGUUGGUGAGGUAACGGCUCACCAAGGCAACGAUGCGUAGCCGACCUGAGAGGGUGAUCGGCCACACUGGGACUGAGACACGGCCCAGACUCCUACGGGAGGCAGCAGUAGGGAAUCUUCCGCAAUGGACGAAAGUCUGACGGAGCAACGCCGCGUGAGUGAUGAAGGCUUUCGGGUCGUAAAACUCUGUUGUUAGGGAAGAACAAGUGCUAGUUGAAUAAGCUGGCACCUUGACGGUACCUAACCAGAAAGCCACGGCUAACUACGUGCCAGCAGCCGCGGUAAUACGUAGGUGGCAAGCGUUAUCCGGAAUUAUUGGGCGUAAAGCGCGCGCAGGUGGUUUCUUAAGUCUGAUGUGAAAGCCCACGGCUCAACCGUGGAGGGUCAUUGGAAACUGGGAGACUUGAGUGCAGAAGAGGAAAGUGGAAUUCCAUGUGUAGCGGUGAAAUGCGUAGAGAUAUGGAGGAACACCAGUGGCGAAGG
rnacentral:rRNA from 1 species